rnacentral:rRNA from 1 species
CCUACGGGAGGCAGCAGUGGGGAAUAUUGGGCAAUGGGCGCAAGCCUGACCCAGCAACGCCGCGUGAAGGAAGAAGGCUUUCGGGUUGUAAACUUCUUUUCUCAGGGACGAAGCAAGUGACGGUACCUGAGGAAUAAGCCACGGCUAACUACGUGCCAGCAGCCGUGGUAAUACGUAGGUGGCAAGCGUUAUCCGGAUUUACUGGGUGUAAAGGGCGUGUAGGCGGGAAAGCAAGUCUGAUGUGAAAACCAUGGGCUCAACCUGUGGCCUGCAUUUGAAACUGUUUUUCUUGAGUACUGGGGAGGCAGACGGAAUUCCUAGUGUAGCGGUGAAAUGCGUAGAUAUUAGGAGGAACACCAGUGGCGAAGGCGGUCUGCUGGACAGCAACUGACGCUGAGGCGCGAAAGCGUGGGGAGCAAACAGGAUUAGAUACCCUAGUAGUC